UACAAAGGGGGCUAGCGUUGCUCGGAAUCACUGGGCGUAAAGGGUGCGUAGGCGGGUCUUUAAGUCAGGGGUGAAAUCCUGGAGCUCAACUCCAGAACUGCCUUUGAUACUGAAGAUCUUGAGUUCGGGAGAGGUGAGUGGAGCUGCGAGUGUAGAGGUGAAAUUCGUAGAUAUUCGCAAGAACACCAGUGGCGAAGGCGGCUCACUGGCCCGAUACUGACGCUGAGGCACGAAAGCGUGGGGAGCAAACAGG
rnacentral:rRNA from 1 species